AGCGAACGCUGGCGGCAGGCUUAACACAUGCAAGUCGAGCGGGCAUCCUUGUGGUGUCAGCGGCAGACGGGUGAGUAACGCGUGGGAACGUGCCCUUCGGUUCGGAAUAACUCAGGGAAACUUUAGCUAAUACCGGAUACGUUCGAGAGCAGAAAGGUUUAUCUGCCGAAGGAUCGGCCCGCGUCUGAUUAGCUAGUUGGUGAGGUUACGGCUCACCAAGGCGACGAUCAGUAGCUGGUCUGAGAGGAUGAUCAGCCACACUGGGACUGAGACACGGCCCAGAAUCCUACGGGAGGCAGGAGUGGGGAAUAUUGGACAAUGGGGGCAAACGUGAUCCAGCCAUGCCGGGUGAGUGAUGACGGCCUUAGGGUUGUAAAGCUCUUUUCUACGGGACGAUAAUGACGGUACCGGAGGAAUAAGCCCCGGCUAACUUCGUG
rnacentral:rRNA from 1 species